AGAGGAAAAGAAACCAACAGGGAUUACCUCAGUAACGGCGAGUGAAGCGGUAACAGCUCAAAUUUGAAAUCUGGCCUCACGGUCCGAGUUGUAAUUUGUAGAGGAUGCUUCGAGCAUGGUCUGGCCUAAGUUCCUUGGAACAGGACGUCAUAGAGGGUGAGAAUCCCGUAUGCGGCCAGGUGCCUACGCUCAUGUGAAGCUCCUUCGACGAGUCGAGUUGUUUGGGAAUGCAGCUCAAAAUGGGUGGUAAAUUUCAUCUAAAGCUAAAUAUUGGCCAGAGACCGAUAGCGCACAAGUAGAGUGAUCGAAAGAUGAAAAGCACUUUGGAAAGAGAGUUAAACAGUACGUGAAAUUGUUGAAAGGGAAGCGCUUGCAACCAGACUUGCGCGCGGCCGAUCAUCCGGUGUUCUCACCGGUGCACUCGGCCGUGCUCAGGCCAGCAUCGGUUUUGGCGGCUGGAUAAAGGCCCUAGGAAUGUAGCUCCUCUCGGGGAGUGUUAUAGCCUAGGGUGCAAUGCAGCCUGCUGGGACCGAGGACCGCGCUUCGGCUAGGAUGCUGGCGUAAUGGUUGUAAGCGGCCCGUCUUGAAACACGGACCAAGGAGUCUAACAUCUAUGCGAGUGUUUGGGUGUCAAACCCAUACGCGUAAUGAAAGUGAACGGAGGUGAGAACCCUUAAGGGUGCAUCAUCGACCGGUCCUGAAGUUUACGGAAGGAUCUGAGUAAGAGCAUAGCUGUUGGGACCCGAAAGAUGGUGAACUAUGCCUGAAUAGGGUGAAGCCAGAGGAAACUCUGGUGGAGGCUCGCAGCGGUUCUGACGUGCAAAUCGAUCGUCAAAUUUGGGUAUAGGGGCGAAAGACUAAUCGAACCAUCAAGCGC
rnacentral:rRNA from 1 species